GGACGAUUGGUGUAGCGGUUAUCACGUCUGCUUUACAUAGCAUAAUUACAUGUUCAUAUCGCAGCAGGUCGCAAGUUCGAUCCUUGCAUCGUUCA